rnacentral:lncRNA from 1 species
AAGAAAUCAGAUUUUGUGAUGAAAAUAGAAGUUUGUCCUACAUAUAUAUAUCCCGUCAGGCUGAACAACCGGGUCAUUCCGGGUUUUAACACACAGAUUUACAUGUUGGGGAAGCAUCCACACCCCUGAUUUUGGCCUAGGCCCUAGACGAGCUUUAAUUAAUUGAAAUUGCAGAGUUGGUAUGAGUCACAUGUCUGUCUACGUGUGCCUGAGUAAGUCCCCUCAUCAUUUGGUUGAAUCCAAACUAUCAACCUCCCAUGACCGUAUGUAAAGGCAAGGAGUGGGUGGUUGAACUUCUCUCGAAUCAUGGGGAUCAUGUGGGUGCCUCACAUUACUCUGUUUCUAUUACAGGUAUAUCUACAGAUCAUUAUUAAUGAAUGGGCGCUUUUCUCUUUUUCUGCAAUUCAAAAAGAUGAUCUCUCCCCUCGUAAACUUUGCCUUUCUUUAGUGUGAUCAAACCACCUCAAGCCCAUCUCUUUCUUCCUGACGUUGAUCCUACGCAUGGGUGGCAAAUUCCUCAGAAAAGUUGUCCCCAUUGGUUCUUGUUAAAGAUGAGAUUCUUAGCCACAUCAUUGAAACCUGUAAAGCAGAGCAACCAACUUGGCUUCACCUUUCUUGACCCUGAAAGGAACCCUUGAAUGACCUUUUUAGAUGCAAAUUUCACUCCAUUCACACUCCUUUUUAGCCCUCGGGAUGCUUUAGAAAAACUUAAGGUAAAGAAAACAAAUUAAAAGAAAUUUUAAGAUUGCAUACAGAGACCAAAGACUAAAGAGGGUGAAAGGGGGUGGAUCAGCUUUGAAAGGAUUCCAGAUGACCCAAGAGGGGCUUUUUCAGAGUCUCUUUCUCCCUCCAUUUAUUUGCAACUUGUCUUUACAUGUUGAGGAGAAAGAAUAAGAAUAUGGAAUAGAUCGAUUUUCUUUCACUUUUUGGAAUUUGGGUGGAGGACCUCUAAAUUCCUUAUCUCCUCCCCAGGGAUAAGAUAAUGUGUCUUUUGUGUUUUAUGUGCUAGCAAAGUUAUCUCGGCAACAUCCCAUGGUUUUGCGGUUACCACCUGUCACAUAACCCUGUACAAAGAACCUCCUAAAGUGCUGGGAGAUCCUAGAUGUUUCCAUAAUUUCCUUUCCCUAUGUUUCUUAGAUUCAAAGCCCCCCAUAACCUCCUCAUCAGUUCUCAUGCAUGCUUCCGAGCAAUCCUUGAAUUUAGACUUCAAAACCCGUUUCUUUUUCAACUAAAUAUUGCAACCCAAACAAGCCAAAAUGAUUGGCACUAGGCUGAACACAUGCAUGAUUUCAUAGAUUACUAGUUUUAAUGUCUUGAGAAGUUAUGAAGAAAUAAUUUGGUUAUUUUCACUGUUGUUGCAUGUUCUUGAAUGUUGACCUGUUCUGCUUUACAUUUCAUGUCCCUGCAUCCAUAAAAUCCUCAAAACCGGAAAUUUAAGCAUACCAUUGUGUGAGAUGGAUCACAUCUAGGUGAAGACUCCGGUUGAAAGGCUCUGCUCAUGGCUUCCACUUCACGUAUACAAUCUAGCUUUUCCACUCCAACCCAAAAUCCAAUUUCUCAGGCGAAGUGAUGCUCUGUUCUAAUUUUCUUUAAUUGAUCAUGGAAAGUCUCAUCUCAUAAAGGGUGUUUCGCAUCCAUCUAAAAUUUCCAUGGAAGUGGUCCGUACACACCAGCCCUUUCUGUCUUUAAUAAAAUUGUAAUCAAGCCAAUUCGAUCUUCAAAUAUGCAAAAUAUCUCAACAAAGGGACUGAACCAGUGUUGAUUUUACUUCCAAUGGCCCCACAGAGCAAUAAUUGAUAGCAUGCUCAUCACGUGUAGGCACAAUCAUGAAGAAAAUUUUCGCAUUUUCUCUCCCAAUGGGCAAGAGAAACCCUUGAAUCAGAUCUUUACUGUUUAAGAUAAGGAUGAAACAGAUAGAAAAGGGACCAAACACCAGAUCAUGUUUCACCAUGUUUUUGUACAAGACACAGAAAGUGCUUAUGCAUUACAUAUUCAAAGAUACUUCAAUUACACUGN